AUAUUAAUCAUUGAUAAACCGUAUCGUUUAGUAAUUUAGUGUUGAUAACGGCCGUCAGUUGACAAUAAUAAUUACGAACAUUAUUCGAAUAUGAUAAAAUUAACGCGGUAUCCAUUAUGAUCAAUAACAACCAACGGAAACGAAAAUCUCCGCAAAUACAUCGUGUUACCAAGAAUCUGAUAUCAGCUCUACAUCGUGCGUGUGUUACCAUCGAUUGAAUACGCAAUACAUUCGUACCCAACACCAUGUAUACCAGAGAUGUAUCUACUAUUCCGUGAUCAAUGUAACCUAACUUAAGACGUCGGAGAACACGUACACAACGUAAUCGCUGUGACGACAGUAUUCACAAGUUUGACAUUAACCCGUUGACUUAUGUCUCCCGUUUCACCGUUUCCAAACCCGUCACGGCCUGGGUGCAAAAACCGUACGUUCAGAUCACGAUUGUCCAAAUUAACUAAACGAUACUAUCACGAUCGUUGUCAUACUAAGUAGGUAUCACCAGACAUGAUAAUUCCUGCGUUACUACUGAUGAUAACCAUAUCUUUUAUGUUUUGAAACAUUCAAAAGUGCAAAAAUUCUUUGUUAUGACCGAAAUUUGAAUUGAAUUUCUUUCACGUAGCACAUAUGUGUACGCAUAUAUGCUAGCACUUCUAUCAUCAAACUAAAUUUUGAAACUGAAAAAUAUUGAUGCAUAGAACUGACUAACUUUCAGUUAGUAUUUGCUGAUCAUUGUAAGAUGUUUUCUAGAAACAAAUCGGUUGGGAACAUUAAACUUUUGGACAAUUCGCUAACAAUUUAAACUAUCUUGCCAAACUGGAAUCUACUGUCAUAAAAAAGAAAGUAUUAUUUUUUUGUUUAUAUGUUUAAUCUUUGUAAAUAUAUAGAUUAUAUUUAUUUUUGAUGAAAGAA